rnacentral:rRNA from 1 species
UCCUACGGGAGGCAGCAGUGGGGAAUUUUGGACAAUGGGCGAAAGCCUGAUCCUGCAAUGCCGCGUGUGUGAAGAAGGCCUUCGGGUUGUAAAGCACUUUUGUCCGGAAAGAAAUCCUUGGCUCUAAUACAGUCGGGGGAUGACGGUACCGGAAGAAUAAGCACCGGCUAACUACGUGCCAGCAGCCGCGGUAAUACGUAGGGUGCGAGCGUUAAUCGGAAUUACUGGGCGUAAAGCGUGCGCAGGCGGUUUGCUAAGACCGAUGUGAAAUCCCCGGGCUCAACCUGGGAACUGCAUUGGUGACUGGCAGGCUAGAGUAUGGCAGAGGGGGGUAGAAUUCCACGUGUAGCAGUGAAAUGCGUAGAGAUGUGGAGGAAUACCGAUGGCGAAGGCAGCCCCCUGGGCCAAUACUGACGCUCAUGCACGAAAGCGUGGGGAGCAAACAGGAUUAGAUACCCUGGUAGUCCACGCCCUAAACGAUGUCAACUAGUUGUUGGGGAUUCAUUUCCUUAGUAACGUAGCUAACGCGUGAAGUUGACCGCCUGGGGAGUACGGUCGCAAGAUUAAAACUCAAAGGAAUUGACGGGGACCCGCACAAGCGGUGGAUGAUGUGGAUUAAUUCGAUGCAACGCGAAAAACCUUACCUACCCUUGACAUGGUCGGAAUCCCGCUGAGAGGUGGGAGUGCUCGAAAGAGAACCGGCGCACAGGUGCUGCAUGGCUGUCGUCAGCUCGUGUCGUGAGAUGUUGGGUUAAGUCCCGCAACGAGCGCAACCCUUGUCCUUAGUUGCUACGCAAGAGCACUCUAAGGAGACUGCCGGUGACAAACCGGAGGAAGGUGGGGAUGACGUCAAGUCCUCAUGGCCCUUAUGGGUAGGGCUUCACACGUCAUACAAUGGUCGGAACAGAGGGUUGCCAACCCGCGAGGGGGAGCUAAUCCCAGAAAACCGAUCGUAGUCCGGAUUGCACUCUGCAACUCGAGUGCAUGAAGCUGGAAUCGCUAGUAAUCGCGGAUCAGCAUGCCGCGGUGACUUUUUCCCGGGCCUUGUACACACCGC